CCUACGGGUGGCAGCAGUGGGGAAUAUUGGGCAAUGGGCGCAAGCCUGACCCAGCAACGCCGCGUGAAGGAAGAAGGCUCUCGGGUUGUAAACUUCUUUUAUCAGGGACGAAGCAAGUGACGGUACCUGAUGAAUAAGCCACGGCUAACUACGUGCCAGCAGCCGCGGUAAUACGUAGGUGGCAAGCUUUAUCCGGAUUUACUGUGUGUAAAGGGCGUGUAGGCGGGAAAGCAAGUCAGAUGUGAAAACCAUGUGCUCAACCUGUGGCCUGCAUUUGAAACUGUUUUUCGUGAGUACUGGAGAGGCAGACGGAAUUCCGAGUGUAGCGGUGAAAUGCGUAGAUAUUAGGAGGAACACCAGUGGCGAAGGCGGUCUGCUGGACAGCAACUGACGCUGAGGCGCGAAAGCGUGGGGAGCAAACAGGAUUAGAUACCCCAGUAGUC
rnacentral:rRNA from 1 species